rnacentral:rRNA from 1 species
GAUGAACGCUGGCGGCGUGCCUAAUACAUGCAAGUCGAGCGAACGGACGAGAAGCUUGCCUCUCUGAUGUUAGCGGCGGACGGGUGAGUAACACGUGGAUAACCUACCUAUAAGACUGGGAUAACUUCGGGAAACCGGAGCUAAUACCGGAUAAUAUUUUGAACCGCAUGGUUCAAAAGUGAAAGACGGUCUUGCUGUCACUUAUAGAUGGAUCCGCGCUGCAUUAGCUAGUUGGUAAGGUAACGGCUUACCAAGGCAACGAUGCAUAGCCGACCUGAGAGGGUGAUCGGCCACACUGGAACUGAGACACGGUCCAGACUCCUACGGGAGGCAGCAGUAGGGAAUCUUCCGCAAAGGGCGAAAGCCUGACGGAGCAACGCCGCGUGAGUGAUGAAGGUCUUCGGAUCGUAAAACUCUGUUAUUAGGGAAGAACAUAUGUGUAAGUAACUGUGCACAUCUUGACGGUACCUAAUCAGAAAGCCACGGCUAACUACGUG